GAUGAACGCUGGCGGCGUGCCUAAUACAUGCAAGUCGAGCGAAUGAUGAGGAGCUUGCUCCUCUGAUUUAGCGGCGGACGGGUGAGUAACACGUGGGUAAUCUGCCUGUAAGACGGGGAUAACUCCGGGAAACCGGGGCUAAUACCGGACAACAAGAGAAGAAGCAUUUCUUCUUUUUGAAAGUCGGUUUUGGCUGACACUUACAGAUGAGCCUGCGGCGCAUUAGCUAGUUGGUGAGGUAACGGCUCACCAAGGCGACGAUGCGUAGCCGACCUGAGAGGGUGAUCGGCCACACUGGGACUGAGACACGGCCCAGACUCCUACGGGAGGCAGCAGUAGGGAAUCUUCGGCAAUGGGCGAAAGCCUGACCGAGCAACGCCGCGUGAGCGAUGAAGGCCUUCGGGUCGUAAAGCUCUGUUGUUAGAGAAGAACAAGUACGAGAGUAACUGCUCGUACCUUGACGGUACCUAACCAGAAAGCCACGGCUAACUACGUGCCAGCCGCCGCGGUAAAAC
rnacentral:rRNA from 1 species